rnacentral:miRNA from 1 species
UAGCCACACUACAGCUAGCCGGUGUGCUGCCAUCGCUAUCAGCAUCGGUAGAGAACACGUCGGCUAGCUGUAGUGUGGCUA